GUGGGGAAUAUUGGACAAUGGGCGAAAGCCUGAUCCAGCCAUGCCGCGUGUGUGAAGAAGGCCUUUUGGUUGUAAAGCACUUUAAGCGAGGAGGAGGCUACUUGGAUUAAUACUCUAGGAUAGUGGACGUUACUCGCAGAAUAAGCACCGGCUAACUCUGUGCCAGCAGCCGCGGUAAUACAGAGGGUGCGAGCGUUAAUCGGAUUUACUGGGCGUAAAGCGUGCGUAGGCGGCUUUUUAAGUCGGAUGUGAAAUCCCUGAGCUUAACUUAGGAAUUGCAUUCGAUACUGGGAAGCUAGAGUAUGGGAGAGGAUGGUAGAAUUCCAGGUGUAGCGGUGAAAUGCGUAGAGAUCUGGAGGAAUACCGAUGGCGAAGGCAGCCAUCUGGCCUAAUACUGACGCUGAGGUACGAAAGCAUGGGGAGCAA
rnacentral:rRNA from 1 species